rnacentral:misc_RNA from 1 species
AACGCAUCUUGCGCUCCUUGGUAUUCCGAGGAGCAUGCCUGUUUGAGUGUCAUCAAAUUCUCAACCUCAUUCAUUUAUUGAUUGAUUGAUUGGUUGGAUGUGGAGGUCUGCAGGACUACUUUUGUUAUCUGCUCCUCUGAAAUGUAUUAGUGGCAGAAAGAAAAUCCACAGAUGUGAUAAAUUUAUCUAUGUCUUGGAAUAUAAAAUAGUUUUGUGCUGCUUUACAAUUUUCUUGAUUGACACAAAUCUUGACCUCAAAUCAGGUAGGACUACCUGCUGAACUUAA